AUUGAACGCUGGCGGCAGGCCUAACACAUGCAAGUCGAACGGUAACAGGAAGAAGCUUGCUUCUUUGCUGACGAGUGGCGGACGGGUGAGUAAUGUCUGGGAAACUGCCUGAUGGAGGGGGAUAACUACUGGAAACGGUAGCUACCGCAUAACGUCGCAAGACCAAAGAGGGGGACCUUCGGGCCUCUUGCCAUCGGAUGUGCCCAGAUGGGAUUAGCUAGUAGGUGGGGUAACGGCUCACCUAGGCGACGAUCCCUAGCUGGUCUGAGAGGAUGACCAGCCACACUGGAACUGAGACACGGUCCAGACUCCUACGGGAGGCAGCAGUGGGGAAUAUUGCACAAUGGGCGCAAGCCUGAUGCAGCCAUGCCGCGUGUAUGAAGAAGGCCUUCGGGUUGUAAAGUACUUUCAGCGGGGAGGAAGGGAGUAAAGUUAAUACCUUUACUCAUUGACGUUACCCGCAGAAGAAGCACCGGCUAACUCCGUG
rnacentral:rRNA from 1 species